rnacentral:rRNA from 1 species
AUGAAGUUAGCGGCGGACGGGUGAGUAACACGUGGGUAACCUGCCCAUAAGACUGGGAUAACUCCGGGAAACCGGGGCUAAUACCGGAUAACAUUUUGAACCGCAUGGUUCGAAAUUGAAAGGCGGCUUCGGCUGUCACUUAUGGAUGGACCCGCGUCGCAUUAGCUAGUUGGUGAGGUAACGGCUCACCAAGGCAACGAUGCGUAGCCGACCUGAGAGGGUGAUCGGCCACACUGGGACUGAGACACGGCCCAGACUCCUACGGGAGGCAGCAGUAGGGAAUCUUCCGCAAUGGACGAAAGUCUGACGGAGCAACGCCGCGUGAGUGAUGAAGGCUUUCGGGUCGUAAAACUCUGUUGUUAGGGAAGAACAAGUGCUAGUUGAAUAAGCUGGCACCUUGACGGUACCUAACCAGAAAGCCACGGCUAACUACGUGCCAGCAGCCGCGGUAAUACGUAGGUGGCAAGCGUUAUCCGGAAUUAUUGGGCGUAAAGCGCGCGCAGGUGGUUUCUUAAGUCUGAUGUGAAAGCCCACGGCUCAACCGUGGAGGGUCAUUGGAAACUGGGAGACUUGAGUGCAGAAGAGGAAAGUGGAAUUCCAUGUGUAGCGGUGAAAUGCGUAGAGAUAUGGAGGAACACCAGUGGCGAAGGCGACUUUCUGGUCUGUAACUGACACUGAGGCGCGAAAGCGUGGGGAGCAAACAGGAUUAGAUACCCCUGGGUAGUUCCACG